rnacentral:rRNA from 1 species
CCUGAACGCUGGCGGCGUGGCUAAGACAUGCAAGUCGCACGGACGUAGCAAUACGUUAGUGGCGAACGGGUGAGUAAUGAAUCGCUAAUGUACCCCGACUUUAGGGAUAGCUAUCCGAAAGGGUAGGUAAUACCAGAUGAUAUAUCUUUAUCGCAUGAUAGAGAUCUCAAAGGUCCGCCGGUCUGGGAGCAGGCGAUUUCGUAUCAGCUAGUUGGUGAGGUAACGGCUCACCAAGGCGACGACGCGUAGCCGGACUGAGAGGUUGGCCGGCCACAUUGGGACUGAGACACUGCCCAGACUCCUACGGGGGGCUGCAGUAACGAAUCUUCCGCAAUGCACG